rnacentral:rRNA from 1 species
UACGUAGGGGGGCAAGCGUUUGUCCGGAUUCAUUGGGCGUAAAGAGCGUGUAGGCGGCCAGGUAGGUCGGUUGUGAAAACUGGAGGCUCAACCUUCAGAGGUCGACCGAAACCAUCUGGCUAGAGUCCGGGAGAGGAGAGUGGAAUUCCUGGUGUAGCGGUGAAAUGCGCAGAUAUCAGGAAGAACACCCGUGGCGAAAAGCGGCUCUCUGGAAACGGUACUGACGCUGAGACGCGAAAAGCGUGGGGGAGCGAACAGG